AGAGUUCGAUUAUGGCUCAGGACGAACGCUGGCGGCGUGCCUAACACAUGCAAGUCGAACGGAGUUACUUAGGACGGAGGAUUCGUCCAAAGACCUUUGUAACUUAGUGGCGAACGGGUGAGUAACGCGUGAGCAAUCUGCCUCGGAGUGGGGGACAACAGUUGGAAACGACUGCUAAUACCGCAUAAUGUGUCGGGAGGGCAUCCUUCUGAUACCAAAGCUUUAUGUGCUCUGAGAUGAGCUCGCGUCUGAUUAGAUAGUUGGUGGGGUAACGGCCUACCAAGUCGACGAUCAGUAGCCGGACUGAGAGGUUGAACGGCCACAUUGGGACUGAGAUACGGCCCAG
rnacentral:rRNA from 1 species